rnacentral:misc_RNA from 1 species
UCUCCGUUGGUGAACCAGCGGAGGGAUCAUUACCGAGUUUACAACUCCCAAACCCCUGUGAACAUACCUGUUUUUUUGCUUCGGCGGUGCCCUCGCUCUCGCGGCGAGGCCCGCCAGAGGACCCAAACAAACUCUUUGACUUUGAUCUAGGAUUAUACUUCUGAGUGAUAAAAAAAAUAAAAUCAAAACUUUCAACAACGGAUCUCUUGGUUCUG